rnacentral:rRNA from 1 species
UACGUAGGGUGCUAGCGUUGUUCGGAAUCAUUGGGCGUAAAGCGCGUGUAGGCGGUUAGUUAAGUCGGGUGUGAAAUCCCUAGGCUCAACCAAGGAAGUGCAUCCGAAACUAACUAGCUAGAAGAUGGUAGAGGAAGGUGGAAUUCCAAGUGUAGAGGUGAAAUUCGUAGAUAUCAAGCGGAACACCGGUGGCGAAGGCGGCCUUCUGGACAGUGACUGACGCUGAGACGCGAAAGCGUGGGGAGCGAACAGG